GCACUUGAAUCUUUCCCAUGCCUUGCAGAAUAAGUGUGGGCCUGGGGACAUGUGGUGCUAAAGCAAAGCAGAGGAAAUCCAGACAAGUCACCUUUCUUCCUUGUUGAGGGCUUGUCCCUACACCUUUGCAACAUUG